rnacentral:rRNA from 1 species
GACGAACGCUGGCGGCGUGCUUAACACAUGCAAGUCGAACGGAAAGGCCCUGCUUUUUUGGGGUGCUCGAGUGGCGCAGGGGUGUGUAACACGGGAGUAACCUUCCCUUGGGUUUGGGAUAACUUCAGGCAACUGGGGCUAAUACCGGCUAGGUGCUCCUGCUGGAGGGGGGUGGUCGGAAAGUUUGGGCGGAUUGGGAUGGACUGGGGGUUUAUCAGCUUGUUGGUGGGUUAGUGGCUUACCAAGGCUUUGGGGGGUAGCCGGCAUGAGAGGGUGACCGGCCACAUUGGGACUGAGAUAGGGACCAGAGUCCUACGGGAGGCAGCAGUGGGGAAUCUUGCACAAUGGGCGGAAGCCUGAUGCAGCAGCGCCGCGUGCGGGAUGACGGCCUUCGGGUUAUAAACCGCUUUAGCCUGUGACGAAGCGUGAGUGACGGUAAUGGGUAAAGAAGCACCGGCUAACUACGUG